AAAUUUACAAUUUGGAGAUGUAAAUAUAAGGAGAUGUGGUAUGAUUGCCAAUGAGAAAACUAUUUACCGAAGACAUAAAGAUUACGAUGUAAAUAACUACAAACUCACUGUUAUGCAUUCAACUAUGCAUGAGACACAUUCAUACUUAAUAGUGUUCAAGUAAAAAAAAAAAAAAGAAACCAGCAUGGCAAAAUGUCAAACAAAUCAAAAUAAAAACCAACAGCCAGAUUAUUGAUAAAAACAAUAAAGAAAAAACAAAUACAGCAAAUGGCAACCAUGGAUAACAUCUGCACUUGUGUAAUUCAUAUUCAGAGAGGGAAAACUAAAUUAGAUAUCAGGUGAUGAACAUGAUUGAUAGUAAAUUGUAUG
rnacentral:lncRNA from 1 species